AACGAACGCUGGCGGCAUGCCUAACACAUGCAAGUCGAGCGCCCGUAGCAAUACGGGAGCGGCGCACGGGUGAGUAACGCGUGGGAACCUGCCCAGAGGUCUGGGACAACCGCGGGAAACUGCGGCUGAUACCGGAUGAUUCCUGAGGGACAAAGAUUUAUCGCCUUUUGGAGGGGCCCGCGUCGGAUUAGGUAGUUGGUGGGGUAACGGCUCACCAAGCCUAUGAUCCGUAACUGGUCUGAGAGGAUGACCAGUCACACUGGGACUGAGACACGGCCCAGACUCCUACGGGAGGCAGCAGUGGGGAGUAUUGGACAAUGGGGGGCAACCCUGAUCCAGCAAUGCCGCGUGGGUGAUGAAGGCCUUCGGGUUGUAAGCCCUUUCGGCGGGGACGAUGAUGACGGUACCCGCAGAAGAAGCCCCGGCUAACUUCGUGCCAGCAGCCGCGGUAAU
rnacentral:rRNA from 1 species